GGGCCUCCAUGAUGUCCAGCACUGGGCUCUGAUCCCCACUGAGGACACAGUGUUCCCCAGGACUUUGACACUUGGCAGUCUGAAAGGCCC
rnacentral:snoRNA from 1 species